rnacentral:rRNA from 1 species
CACGUAGGGUGCGAGCGUUGUCCGGAAUUAUUGGGCGUAAAGAGCUCGUAGGCGGUGUGUCGCGUCGGCCGUGAAAACCUGCAGCUUAACUGUGGGCUUGCGGUCGAUACGGGCAUCACUGGAGUUCGGCAGGGAGACUGGAAUUCCUGGUGUAGCGGUGAAAUGCGCAGAUAUCAGGAGGAACACCGGUGGCGAAGGCGGGUCUCUGGGCCGAUACUGACGCUGAGACGCGAAAGCGUGGGGAGCAAACAGG